UCACCGGUGUUUUUCAACACCACCCACGUACGUAAGAAGCUGUUU
rfam:Saprolegnia parasitica CBS 223.65 unplaced genomic scaffold supercont2.69, whole genome shotgun sequence.